UACAGAGGUCUCAAGCGUUGUUCGGAUUCAUUGGGCGUAAAGGGUGCGUAGGUGGCGCCGUAAGUCAGGUGUGAAAUUUCGGAGCUUAACUCCGAAACUGCAUUUGAUACUGCGGUGCUUGAGGACUGGAGAGGAGGCUGGAAUUUACGGUGUAGCAGUGAAAUGCGUAGAGAGUCGUAAGGAAGACCAGUGGCGAAGGCGGGUCUCUGGACGAGUUC
rnacentral:rRNA from 1 species